UCGCCUACAUGAAGCUGGAAUCGCUAGUAAUCGCGGAUCAGCAUGCCGCGGUGAAUACGUUCCCGGGCCUUGUACACACCGCCCGUCACACCACGAGAGUUUGUAACACCCGAAGUCGGUGGGGUAACCUUUAUGGAGCCAGCCGCCUAAGGUGGGACAGAUGAUUGGGGUGAAGUCGUAACAAGGUAGCCGUAUCGGAAGGUGCGGCUGGAUCACCUCCUUUCUAUGGAGA
rnacentral:rRNA from 1 species